UUAGGAAGUGGUGUAGUGGAAGCACCAAGAGUUUUGAUCUCUUUGGGGGGGUUCAAGUCCCUUCUUUCUAAG
rnacentral:tRNA from 1 species